UGGGUGACCUCUGUGUGACCUCGUCUCCUCAGAGUUUUCUUCCUGGAGUUAACAGAUGACGUCUGUCUCGAGAGACUCACUCUGAGAGCUACAGAUCCAGUCAGUGGACAGAGGUUCCAUGCUGUGAGUCGCCCGGCUCCGACCUCUGAGGUCCAGAACAGACUGAAGAUCAGACCUGAGGACACCACACACACUGUGACACACACACUGAGUCAGUACAGGACACACACCGCUGCCCUGCAGUCUGUGUAUCCAGGUGCAGGUCAUAUUGAUGCUGAUCAGGAUCCUCACUCUGUGUUUGAGGCUCUGGAGAGCAGACUGACAACUGACUGACAGGAGGACUCACCUGUACACACACCUGAACACACCUGUACACACCUGGCAACAGGUUGGGGAGACAGGAAGUGAAGUCACUGCUGCACCUCUCUGAACUGUUCACACUCUUUUCUAAAUGUUCUAAAUUUGUUUUAACAUCAAUAAAAUCUUUGUC